UGGGGAAUUUUGGACAAUGGGCGAAAGCCUGAUCCAGCAAUGCCGCGUGUGUGAAGAAGGCCUUCGGGUUGUAAAGCACUUUUGUCCGGAAAGAAAUCCUUGGCUCUAAUACAGUCGGGGGAUGACGGUACCGGAAGAAUAAGCACCGGCUAACUACGUGCCAGCAGCCGCGGUAAUACGUAGGGUGCAAGCGUUAAUCGGAAUUACUGGGCGUAAAGCGUGCGCAGGCGGUUUGCUAAGACCGAUGUGAAAUCCCCGGGCUCAACCUGGGAACUGCAUUGGUGACUGGCAGGCUAGAGUAUGGCAGAGGGGGGUAGAAUUCCACGUGUANNAGUGAAAUGCGUAGAGAUGUGGAGGAAUACCGAUGGCGAAGGCAGCCCCCUGGGCCAAUACUGACGCUCAUGCACGAAAGCGUGGGGAGCAAACAGGAUUAGAUACCCUGGUAGUCCACGCCCUAAACGAUGUCAACUAGUUGUUGGGGAUUCAUUUCCUUAGUAACGUAGCUAACGCGUGAAGUUGACCGCCUGGGGAGUACGGUCGCAAGAUUAAAACUCAAAGAAUUGACGGGGUCAUAGCUGUUUCC
rnacentral:rRNA from 1 species